rnacentral:rRNA from 1 species
UGGGGAAUUUUCCGCAAUGGGCGAAAGCCUGACGGAGCAAUACCGCGUGAGGGAGGAAGGCUUUUGGGUUGUAAACCUCUUUUCUCAAGGAAGAAUACUGACGGCACCUGAGGAAUAAGCAUCGGCUAACUCCGUGCCAGCAGCCGCGGUAAUACGGAGGAUGCAAGCGUUAUCCGGAAUGAUUGGGCGUAAAGCGUCCGCAGGUGGUUAUGCAAGUCUGCUGUUAAAGAGUGGAGCUUAACUCCAUAAGGGCAGUGGAAACUGCGUGACUAGAGUACGUUCGGGGCAGAGGGGAUUCCUGGUGUAGCGGUGAAAUGCGUAGAUAUCAGGAAGAAAACCGGUGGCGAAAGCGCUCUGCUAGGCCGUAACUGACACUGAGGGACGAAAGCUAAGGGAGCGAAUGGGAGUAGAUACCCCCGUAGACC